rnacentral:rRNA from 1 species
ACUCAAAUGAAUAGACGGGGACCCGCACAAGCGGUGGAGCAUGUGGUUUAAUUCGACGCAACGCGAAGAACCUUACCAGGGCUUGACAUCCCCUGAAAGUCAUGGAAACAUGAUGUUUAGGCCUUCGGGCUUAACAGGGAGACAGGUGGUGCAUGGUUGUCGUCAGCUCGUGUCGUGAGAUGUUGGGUUAAGUCCCGCAACGAGCGCAACCCCUAUUUUCAGUUGCCAGCACGUAAGGGUGGGAACUCUGAAGAAACUGCCGGUGACAAACCGGAGGAAGGUGGGGAUGACGUCAAAUCAUCAUGCCCUUUAUGUCCUGGGCUACACACGUGCUACAAUGGCCGGUACAAAGGGAAGCGAAGCCGCGAGGUGAAGCGAAUCCCAUAAAGCCGGUCUCAGUUCGGAUUGCAGGCUGCAACUCGCCUACAUGAAGUCGGAAUCGCUAGUAAUCGCGAGUCAGCAUAUCGCGGUGAAUACGUUCCCGGGUCUUGCACACACCGCCCGU